CAAGUCGAGGGGCAGCAUUUCUAGCUUGCUAGAAGAUGGCGACCGGCGCACGGGUGAGUAACGCGUAUGCAACCUACCUUAUACUGGGGGAUAGCCCAGAGAAAUCUGGAUUAACACCGCAUAACAAUAUUUUGUCGCAUGGCAGAAUAUUUAAAACUCCGGUGGUAUAAGAUGGGCAUGCGUAGCAUUAGUUAGUUGGUGAGGUAACGGCUCACCAAGACGAUGAUGCUUAGGGGGUCUGAGAGGAUAGUCCCCCACACUGGUACUGAGACACGGACCAGACUCCUACGGGAGGCAGCAGUGAGGAAUAUUGGUCAAUGGACGCAAGUCUGAACCAGCCAUGUCGCGUGCAGGAUGACGGCCCUAUGGGUUGUAAACUGCUUUUUUACAGGAAUAAUUGUCGAUACGUGUAUCGAUUUGAAUGUACUGUAUGAAUAAGGAUCGGCUAACUCCGUGCCAGCAGCCCGCGGUAAUACGGAGGAUUCGAGCGUUAUCCGGAUUUAUUGGGUUUAAAGGGUCCGUAGGCGGUCUUUUAAGUCAGUGGUGAAAUCCCAGAGCUCAACUCUGGAACUGCCAUUGAAACUGAAAGACUUGAAUAUGGUUGAGGUAGGCGGAAUACGUUAUGUAGCGGUGAAAUGCAUAGAUAUAACGUAGAACACCAAUUGCGAAGGCAGCUUACUAAACCAUUAUUGACGCUGAUGGACGAAAGCGUGGGGAGCGAACAGGAUUAGAUACCCUUGGUAGUCCACGCCGUAAACGAUGAUUACUCGUUGUGCACAAUACAUCGUGCGUGACUUAGCGAAAGCAUUAAGUAAUCCACCUGGGGAGUACGUUCGCAAGAAUGAAACUCAAAGGAAUUGACGGGGGCCCGCACAAGCGGAGGAACAUGUGGUUUAAUUCGAUGAUACGCGAGGAACCUUACCUGGACUUAAAUGUAGAUUGACCGGCUUAGAAAUAGGUCUUCUCUUCGGAGCAAUUUACAAGGUGCUGCAUGGUUGUCGUCAGCUCGUGCCGUGAGGUGUCGGGUUAAGUCCCAUAACGAGCGCAACCCCUAUUGUUAGUUGCUAGCAGGUAAUGCUGAGGACUCUAGCGAGACUGCCACCGUAAGGUGAGAGGAAGGUGGGGAUGACGUCAAAUCAGCACGGCCCUUACGUCCAGGGCUACACACGUGUUACAAUGGCCAGUACAAAGGGCAGCUACCAGGUGACUGGAUGCUAAUCUCAAAAGCUGGUCUCAGUUCGGAUCGGAGUCUGCAACUCGACUCCGUGAAGUUGGAUUCGCUAGUAAUCGUAUAUCAGCAAUGAUACGGUGAAUACGUUCCCGGGCCUUGUACACACCGCCCGUCAAGCCAUGGAAGCCGAGGGUGCCUGAAGUACGUUACCGUAAGGAG
rnacentral:rRNA from 1 species